rnacentral:rRNA from 1 species
CCAGACUCCUACGGGAGGCAGCAGUGAGGAAUAUUGGUCAAUGGGCGGGAGCCUGAACCAGCCAAGUCGCGUGAGGGAAGACGGUCCUACGGAUUGUAAACCUCUUUUGCCGGGGAGCAACGGGGUCCUUGCGAGGGCCCGAUGAGAGUACCCGGAGAAAAAGCAUCGGCUAACUCCGUGCCAGCAGCCGCGGUAAUACGGAGGAUGCGAGCGUUAUCCGGAUUUAUUGGGUUUAAAGGGGGCGUAGGCGGGUUAACAAGUCAGCGGUAAAAUCGGGGGGCACAACCUCCUCGAGCCGUUGAAACUGGGUGCCUUGAGUGGGCGAGAAGUACGCGGAAUGCGUGGUGUAGCGGUGAAAUGCAUAGAUAUCACGCAGAACUCCGAUUGCGAAGGCAGCGUACCGGCGCCCAACUGACGCUGAAGCACGAAGGCGUGUGUAUCGAACAGGAUUAGAUCCCCGAGUA